AGUGAACGCUGGCGGUAGGCCUAACACAUGCAAGUCGAACGGCAGCACAGUAAGAGCUUGCUCUUACGGGUGGCGAGUGGCGGACGGGUGAGGAAUACAUCGGAAUCUACCUUUUCGUGGGGGAUAACGUAGGGAAACUUACGCUAAUACCGCAUACGACCUACGGGUGAAAGCAGGGGAUCUUCGGACCUUGCGCGAUUGAAUGAGCCGAUGUCGGAUUAGCUAGUUGGCGGGGUAAAGGCCCACCAAGGCGACGAUCCGUAGCUGGUCUGAGAGGAUGAUCAGCCACACUGGAACUGAGACACGGUCCAGACUCCUACGGGAGGCAGCAGUGGGGAAUAUUGGACAAUUGGCGCAAGCCUGAUCCAGCCAUACCGCGUGGGUGAAGAAGGCCUUCGGGUUGUAAAGCCCUUUUGUUGGGAAAGAAAAGCAGCAGGUUAAUACCCCGCUGUUCUGACGGUACCCAAAGAAUAAGCACCGGCUAACUUCGUG
rnacentral:rRNA from 1 species